rnacentral:rRNA from 1 species
CCUACGGGUGGCAGCAGUGGGGAAUAUUGGACAAUGGGCGCAAGCCUGAUCCAGCCAUGCCGCGUGAGUGAUGAAGGCCCUAGGGUUGUAAAGCUCUUUCAGCGGGGAAGAUAAUGACGGUACCCGCAGAAGAAGCCCCGGCUAACUUCGUGCCAGCAGCCGCGGUAAUACGAAGGGGGCUAGCGUUGCUCGGAAUCACUGGGCGUAAAGCGCACGUAGGCGGAUCUUUAAGUCAGGGGUGAAAUCCCGGAGCUCAACUCCGGAACUGCCUUUGAUACUGGGGAUCUUGAGUCCGGGAGAGGUGAGUGGAACUGCGAGUGUAGAGGUGAAAUUCGUAGAUAUUCGCAAGAACACCAGUGGCGAAGGCGGCUCACUGGCCCGGUACUGACGCUGAGGUGCGAAAGCGUGGGGAGCAAACAGGAUUAGAUACCCUUGUAGU